rnacentral:rRNA from 1 species
AAUAGAUACCCUGGUAGUCCACCCCGUAAACGUUGGGAACUAGUUGUGGGGUCCUUUCCACGGAUUCCGUGACGCAGCUAACGCAUUAAGUUCCCCGCCUGGGGAGUACGGCCGCAAGGCUAAAACUCAAAGGAAUUGACGGGGACCCGCACAAGCGGCGGAGCAUGCGGAUUAAUUCGAUGCAACGCGAAGAACCUUACCAAGGCUUGACAUACACGAGAACGGGCCAGAAAUGGUCAACUCUUUGGACACUCGUGAACAGGUGGUGCAUGGUUGUCGUCAGCUCGUGUCGUGAGAUGUUGGGUUAAGUCCCGCAACGAGCGCAACCCUCGUUCUAUGUUGCCAGCACGUAAUGGUGGGAACUCAUGGGAUACUGCCGGGGUCAACUCGGAGGAAGGUGGGGAUGACGUCAAAUCAUCAUGCCCCUUAUGUCUUGGGCUUCACGCAUGCUACAAUGGCCGGUACAAUGGGCUGCGAUACCGUAAGGUGGAGCGAAUCCCAAAAAGCCGGUCCCAGUUCGGAUUGAGGUCUGCAACUCGA